GCUGUUGGCCACAGCUGAAGUUAGUGGUUGUUGACUGGAAGCAGGGUGCUGAUUCUCAUUCUGAUACAUAGAAAAUCCAGAGGAACCUGGUUUAAGGGUCCUGCUCUUCUGCUUAAAGACAUAUUGAUGGGAGAUGACUGCAUAAUAGUUCAAAAUGAAGUCUUGUUCAUUUGGCUUAUGAAGACGGGGGCACAGGUGGUCUUCUCGUUGAUCCUCCUGGCCAGCGGUCGCAGUAGGCAUCAUGUCACCUGUGUCAGAGAAGUCAAGCUGCAGUUCCAGAGUCGGUGCCAUCAUGCAGGUUUUGGCUUCCUGGACCACGAUCUGCUCUUCCAUACAAGGGAGCUCCUGGGACUCAAUGGGCUUCAUCUCUCCAGAAAAGUGACAGCCCGCUUCUGACUCUAGAGCCUCCUAUCAAGCAUGAGUCACGAGACCCGCUUCUGACUCUAGAGCCUCCUAUCAAGCAAAAGUGCACAUUCAGCUUGUACCUUGGUGGAGUUUACAAGCUACAUCUUCCAAAAUACAUCAGCAUACUUCCAACCUUGUGUAUCCCUGCUCACCCUGAUAUGGACCAGAAGAAUAGUCCUCCCUCUUUCUACAGUCUUUCUCAACUGUGCCACCCUAUGACACAAUGUUUCUAUUAUAAUUUAAGUACUGAGAGUACAUUUGAAGAACUCUUGCUUCAGAAAGUACUGAUUCAAUUGGCAAAUUGUUGAGCAGAGUAAUACACAGCUAGAAAUGCAAAGAUACAAAACUUCAUAAUAUAUUUGAAAGUUACCUUUAUGUCUGAUGGGGGAUUUAUUGACAUCAAGAAUUUCAGUAGCACUUACCCAAUCUUUGUUAAUUAGAACUGCAGUGAAGUGUUUGCGUUGUUGGUGAACUAGUAAAUGCUUCUCACAUAAGCUGACAUUUACUCACGUGUCAUCAUGAGUCUACAAAGUUUUGAUGCAAAAUAAAACAAACUGAAAAUCAGGCCAAAUGAGAGGAAGAGGCAGAAA